AGGAAAUAAGAGUAUAUUCAUUCUUAUCAUUAGAUAGCCUGUAGGCUUAGCGUUUUCCAAAUUUACAUCAAUGAGGAACUAAACUAUUAACGUAUUACAUAGAGUCACAUAAUACCUCAAAUAAUACUUACAACACUUCUCCUUAGAUGUGCAACAAUCAAUGGUAGUUGCCUCAAUAAAACUUUGCUUGGAAAACCCAAUGGAAUAAAACCUAGUCGAAGGGAAAAAAAGCACAACGCGUUUAUUUAUCCAUUAUAGCAUAUUGUCAGACUCCCCCUAAUGAAUAACUCCGCUAGAUACAUGACUCUACCUGAUGAUUAUAAGUCUUGAUUCAACUAGUCAUCAUUGUCAAGUUUGAAGUAAUGUGGCUCGGCCUUCAAGAAAUUAAGUUUGAGUAGAACUUGACUUGGGGAACUGUGAAAGUUUAUUAGAAAUUGACAACAGCCAUUUGUGUUCCUGCAAAUAACAAAUAAAUACAAAAUAAAAUCUAAAAUCUAAAAUAAACUAAGAGUAGUAUAAACUUCAUUGUAAGUAUGAACCAUAUAUACAAAUAGCCUUGUAGGCUCUUCAAGAAUCAUACUAAAACUCUUAGCUCUUUAAAGAGUAUGUUGCAACAAUAUAAUUUUAUGUUCGAACUAACAAAAGUACUCGUUGAGGCAAUUUAUAACAAAUUUAUCUAAAAUAGGUACUGAGUACAUAUUUUGAUCUUUAUGCUCUUAAAGUGAAAUCAUUAAAUAAGAAUUUCAUAGCAUUUUCCAUUCAUUAAGAAAUAGCUUUGAAAGCUAGACUAAAACUUAAAAAUCAAGUAGUAUGCAAUCUCCACAUGUCACAAGUCUCACAUUCAAGAUAACACUAUACUUAUAGAAAUGUGAUUGCACCUACAAUAAGAGAUAGGUCUCUACUAAGAAGCCUAUGCCAUACAAUAAUUUUAUUUCACUUUAAUACGAACGCCCAAGAAUAACUUUUGGUGUUUAAACUAUAGGUUCCCUUAUUCCACGUUUUCAAUGCCUCUUAAAAUGGAAUUUGCCUCUUUCCAAUUUGGCCUACCCUUUUACAAUUUGUCGAAAUUUAAUCAGAAAACGUGACUGAAUAGCCCUUGAUGAUGUGAGUAGCUACUAUAAUAAAAAUUAUCGUGUAUCAUCAAUUUGUGAUCUAACAAUCCUCAUGUGGGUGUGCAUGCUUAAUUUAUAAUUAUUUUAUUGCUUGGGUACAAUGCAUUUCGAGGCUUCUAUUGUCACGUCUAGGACAAACAUCUUAAGAUGAAUUGCUUAAAGAGUUGGGUCAUGCCCUCUUAUGGAGAGUUAUUUCAAUUAGGGCUUGAAGUUUAUUAAUCUCCACUUAUGAGAAGUUCAAAGUGUGUAUAUGUGUGUGUGUGUGUAAUGCCUUUAGGCAGGCAACAGAUUAAUCUACAUUACUUAUGAGACAAGAGUGGAUGUGUCAACGCUGAUUCACGACGUUCUAAACUGUCAUGUCUCCCCCUAACAUUGGGAAUAUUGUCUCACCAAAUUGAUAAUCCGCAAAAAUACAGUAACUAUGAGCACAACUUAAAACAAAUUGACUUGAAUCCCAAUUUUAAGGGAUGAAAACAAUCUUUGUACACAAUUACUUAUUGGUUGGAAAACAUACCCCAACCAAGUUGAUCAUCAUGAUGCACAUGAUCAAGAUGCAUCUCCCAAGCAAAAAUUAGCAAAGAAUAAAAUGCUUAAAACUUUGGUAAGCCAUGAAUAUUGUGUGCUCAAAUUAAUCACAAGUGACAUGAAAUAGCCUACAAAUAUGGGAAAUGCACUUGUAAUAGCAAGCGAAUAAUAUUAUGACUAUCUUGUAGAUACAUUUAGGUCACUGGUCAAGUAGUCCACAAUUAGAUGUCGAUUAUGCUCACAAAUACGCUUAAAUUCUCGAGAAGAAAAUGGGAAUCCAAGAUCAAUUGUGACUUAGAUGGUCUAAGGACCAAUUUUCCACAUGACCAAUCCUUGUAAAGGCGUGCACAAUGCAAUAGGGCUAGGUUCGCUUUAAAACGGUUAAACCGAAACCGAAUCAAAAUUUCGGUUCGGUUCAAUUUUUUUCGGUUCGGUUUUGGUUUUUUUUGGUUUGGUUUCAAUCCGGUUCGGUUUUUUCCAUGAAUUUUUUUUUUUAAUCUGGAACAAAUCUGCAACAAUUGAUUAAGCACUGAAGAUGCAGAAGCUUCUGCAUAAAAUGAAUACGAACUGGGACGAUCGGUCAUGGAUAUGACAUUAUUGGGUGUCGGUGAGUCUUUCUUGUUGUGGAUCCAAGAGUUCUCGUAGAGAAAAAAAAACACAUGCAUUGAUGGAAAUUUUGUGAAAAACAUGUUCAUUUGAGCAAGAUCUAUGGCAUGCAAUUAACAAUUAAAGGCGGAAUCAUGCUUGUAUGCACUCAAAAACAAAACAUUACCCAUGAAAUUCAAAGCCUAGUAGUUAUGUGAACCAAGACUCAACUCAAGAACAAAGUGAGUUGAGAAAUCUUAUACCUUUGUUGAUUCCUCUUUGCAUAAGCAAAGGCUAAUCACCCAAGGAGAGGGCCUUCAUUCCUUGCUUCUUAGCUCCAUGAAUUUCUUGGAUGAGGAUGGUUGAAAGAAUUCUCCAAGUUCCCAAAGUUGAGAAACUCUAAUUUUUCCACACCAAGGAAAGACUCGAAGAAGAGAUGAGUGACCUUGGAGGAGGGAAGAUUGCUAGCUAAUCUCCUCCAAGGGGGCCAGCCUCCUAGAGAGAAAGGGAGAGACAUUGUGUUCUCAUCUUUUCUCCAAAAGAAACCCUAAGGAUGAAAUGGCUAUAAAGUUGUCUUUAUACCACCUCACAAUGGAAUGGCAAACUUGCAAUUAAGCCAAGCUCACUACCCCUCUCUAUAUGGCUGGCCAUUAAGGGUUCAUUGGGCUUUCAAGCCCUUUGUGGUUUCAAGUUGUCAUACAACUUGAGUUAAUGGGCUUGACAUUCAAAUCCCAUUGGACCUUGCGGCCCAAAACUAACCCGAGGUCUAUAACGAACUUAUUCGUUUGAUUAAUUAACAUAUUAAUUAAUCCUAGCCAUAAAUAAUUAAAUCAUUUAAUUAUCCUUACUCAUCUCUGUUGUUUCUUCAAUCUCUACCUUACAUGGUGUACGAUCCAUUAGGUUCCUUUUAGCGAGGCAGUGGGCAAUUAGAACUCUUUCAAAUCGAUUGUGAAUUGAAACUUACUUUCAAUUCUCCCUUUAGUGAUUAUACACGUUUAGGGCUUCCACAAACCAUGAGUGACACCUAGCAGUAUGUCAUGGUUACCCAAGCUAAUCAGAAGAGGUGGAGAACCUAUUCAGUUUAGGAUUACAAUGCAAUACGGUCUUUCUCUAAUACAAUACUCUUGACCACAUUGUUUGGUUUGAUAGUUUAUUCAUGUAUACUAUCCAAUGUGAUUCUCUUACUUAUAUGAUUACCUUGAAUGUGAUUUGGAACGAUUUCCUACAUCUCAUUCAUACUCUAGCCAGAGAUUCUUAAUCAUAUCAUAGAGUAUUCUCCCUUAAACGGUUUAAAGGUUAGAGAUCCCUUGUUGCGCAUUCACUUGCCUCCAUGGCUAAGUGGCUUAACCCCAACUAUGUCAUGGACACCCUCUGACAGAGUGACUUUGACAUAGUCAAAGAUAAAGGACCUAACCACAUGACAACUAUGAUGCCUCAGGUCAAAUGACUACUUUGCAUUAUCCCAACCUUGAGUUCUCAUGUGACAUUAGUAUGAGAACUCAUUCUUGAUCGUGUUCAGUAAACUCAUUUUCUAUUGAGCACCUACAUGCUUGUCUUGGUGUCAGUCACACCAAUGACUCGAGACCAGUCACUCUCUCUAAAAGAAGACAUAGCACGUACUGAUCUUAAUGGACUGUCAAUGCCCAAUUGGCAAUCCUAUGAUCAGGAACGUUUAAGAUAUGUAUACGAAAGAGAAUGGUCUCAUGAAUCUAACUUCUUUAGAUCGCAUUCUCCCAAUUACAUAUUCCUUGGACUUAUCAUUUAAGCGUAUAACAUUUAUAUGAGACGGCUUUAAACAAUAAUCUUUGCCCUUUAUAUUAAACUAUAUUAGUUUAACAUGUGAAAUGUCCGUAAAGUAUCAUCAUAUGAUUGGUUUUAGGGCACAUUUCCAACAUGCAUGUGUUAAUUCUUUGAUUUUUUCCAUGAAAAUAAACCCAAUAGAACUAAAUACCAGCCAGCCAGGGAGAUUUUUACCUUGGGGGUUUGUUUUUAGUCCCAAACAUCUCGUCACUCGUCAGCCAUGGCAACACCUAUGCAUCUGCUGCCAAAUUGGAAGAUUAUAAUAUGCAAAAUCCCAACAAAAUAAUUAAAAGAAAAACCCAUUUUACGUGGACAUUAGUUGUGCACAUAAUAAUUUAUAAAUACAAAUCCAAUAUUUUUUGGUUUCAUGGAAUUUACAAAACCAAUUAUUAACCAAGGUUGUAUUUUCAAAGGUUUAUGAAAAAACCGUGGGAAACAAACUAGGAGCUGCUGAUACAUAUAUGAACAAAAGAAAAAUCAUUGCUUAAUCAUAUAGUCUAUUAAUUCAAUAAAUCACAAUAUAAAAUUAUAAAUCAUAUUUGUUUUUAUUAAAAAAUUACCUGUGAGAGAUCGGAAAACCCGGAUUAGAAUCUUCCAAUUUGGAGGGGGUUCCGAUUCGAAAAGGGCAAGGGAAAAUCAUGGUUUGGAAGAUGAGGAGGAGGACAGGAGAAGACUGGAGACUGGAGAGAGUGAUUUGGAGGAAGAGAGGAAAGGGAGAGAGAGAGAGAGAGAGAGAGACUGAGGAACCAAAGGUAAAAAGGAAGCAACGGAGGGGAGAGAGAGAGUGAGUGUUUGAGAUCUGAAAUAGGAAAUGGGAAAU
rnacentral:lncRNA from 1 species